UACGUAGGGGGCUAGCGUUGUCCGGAAUCAUUGGGCGUAAAGCGCGUGUAGGCGGUUCGGGAAGUCCGCUGUGAAAGUCGGGGGCUCAACCCUCGAAUGCCGGUGGAUACUGUCGGACUAGAGUACGGAAGAGGCGAGUGGAAUUCCUGGUGUAGCGGUGAAAUGCGCAGAUAUCAGGAGGAACACCAAUUGCGAAGGCAGCUCGCUGGGACGUUACUGACGCUGAGACGCGAAAGCGUGGGGAGCAAACAGG
rnacentral:rRNA from 1 species